CCUAACCACUAGAGCUCAUACUAGUGAUUAUGGUGCAAUAAGGUUUUGGAUACUGCUUCCAAUUUUUUUUUAUCAAAACAUUUUUGAGUGGACAAAAAAGGGGCUCUCUUGACACCUAGAGCUUGACCUCUCUUCUGUGACUUGGAUAAUCUGAAUUGUUUGUCCAAAUGUGUCUACGACCUUGGACAGCAAUGAUUGACUGUGAAUGGAUAACCUGCUUCCAGCCUAUCAAGGCACUCCUAAGUUGAAAUUGGUUUGUAUUUUUUAAAGUGGUGCUACCUCCUCCUCUAUUUAGAGUUUUAAGUUUCCAUCUAUUUCUUCCCACUUCAGAGAGGAUUAGCUGCAGAAGGUGCAUACAGGCCUCUGCAGAUCAUUAUCAGACGCUUCCCAUUCACAAUGGUGACAGGACGGAGAACCCUUUCAGCCAGGAGAGAACUAAUCUCUUUGUUCCUGACAGAGCCACUCAAGAGUGUGGUGAAAUUAAAAAGAAAACAACUGACACGAUUUAACUGCCAAGAAAAAAACCCCCAAAAAAACCAACCAAAAAAAAAUAACAAACAAACCCAACACAUUACAACAUAAAUUUACAAAACAUUCUAGCAAAAAGUGCACGUUGAGAUUUCUUUAAUUUUAACACGUAUUACUACUGUAAGUUUGGUUGAUCCGGUCUAGCGUUGUCAUUUUUUGUUGCAGUAUUUGUAAUUUGUCAUGCCAUAAAUACAGUGUCGGUGUGUCUAUAUAUAUAUACACAUAAGAUAACAUACCUUUUAUAGUUACUAAAUUGACUGAGUAACAACACAUCAUACGUAGGUUAUGUUAUCCAGUAAAUUUUAUAUUAUCUAAAUUACAUUUAGCAGAGCACUUAUUCUUGUAACAUUAGAAAAAAGUUUUGCUUUGUAGUUAGAUGUGAUAUUUCUUGAUAUUAGACGCUCUGCAUGUUAUUCUAAUAGUCAAAUUAUGUUUUCAAAUCCAGUACACGGCGCACUGUGCAGCAUGGUUACUGAGUUUACAAUGUGCGGUACCUUUAAUGAGACAUGUAUCUCUCUGCCUGAGAUUGCUGUGCAUUGCAUUCCUGGGCAGCAGAAGCCAUUGGCAUCUGCUUUCAACGGAGGAGUUGGAGAAUUCCGUUGUCUCCUCAGCUCUUUUCUGGACAUGUCUGUAAUGGAAGAAUUAAAGGGUAUCCAGGGAUGUAACUCUCACCAAUCCUGGACUUAGUAGGCUAGGUCAGGUAUGUCGUAGUUUAAUAUUUCCAUUACAUUUGCGUAUGCCGUCAGUAAAAAGUCUAUCUAGUCUUCUGAAAAAAACAAACAUUUGUUCUCAAUCAAAUGCAC